GCGUGGGUGACCUACCCCGAAGUGGGGAAUAACUGCCCGAAAGGGUGGCUAAUACCGCAUGUGAUCGUUCUUUCAUUUGAUCGAUCAAAGCAGAAAUGCGCUUUGGGAGGGGCCUGCGUCCGGUUAGCUCGUUGGUGGGGUAAUGGCUCACCAAGGCGACGAUCGGUAGGUGGUCUGAGAGGACGAUCACCCAGACUGGGACUGAGACGCGGCCCAGACUCCUACGGGAGGCAGCAGUCGGGAAUUUUGCUCAAUGGGCGCAAGCCUGAAGCAGCAACGCCGCGUGAGGGAUGAAGGCCU
rnacentral:rRNA from 1 species